rnacentral:rRNA from 1 species
GUGCCAGCAGCCGCGGUAAUACGUAGGUGGCAAGCGUUAUCCGGAAUUAUUGGGCGUAAAGCGCGCGCAGGUGGUUUCUUAAGUCUGAUGUGAAAGCCCACGGCUCAGCCGUGGAGGGUCAUUGGAAACUGGGAGACUUGAGUGCAGAAGAGGAAAGUGGAAUUCCAUGUGUAGCGGUGAAAUGCGUAGAGAUAUGGAGGAACACCAGUGGGGAAUGCGAAGUUCU